UUCACUCUAAUUUUGUCUAGUUGUGCUGAAUCCCACUGUCUAAUUCGAUCAGUUUCCAUAACGGAAGUGCUGCACACCGCUAUAUCGAUUGGACUAGGUGAACGGUAUCUACUAUAGUAUCCAUCAAUGGGCUGCCUAAAUAGGUCGUGGGAUGGAUCAAUCGGUCAGGGCAUUGUUCAGCCAUGAGCUUUUAUUUACCCCUUAAUUAGGUUGUAGUCUGGCGGUCUCACUCCAAUGAGUGUUCUUACAGUGUCCCGUGGAUAAAACCACUUCUCCUAUCGUGGAAACCACUCUUCUCUAAUAAGACCAAUGACCAUUUUACAUUUCAGCCCUCUUACUUUCUCCUCUCUCCCGUUUGCCUUCCCCUCUGCUACUCCCUCCCAUCCCCGUCGGUCAUUUCCCAGCCAAACUGACUUGCCAUCUAUGGGCCCCAUGUGUGGGUCCCACAGUCUAACACUCUCUCUCCUCCUCCCAGCGACCCCCNNN
rnacentral:lncRNA from 1 species